rnacentral:tRNA from 1 species
GGGGUUGUAGUUUAGCGGUAGAGUGCUCAUCUAGCAUGUGGGAGGCCCUGGGUUUGAUCCUUAGCACCCCA